rnacentral:lncRNA from 1 species
AACCACAGCAUCCUUAGAGGCAGUUGACAUAUAAUAUGGUGGAAGCCCCCUUUCUCAUUGUAAUUUGGGAAGUAUUACAGACUGACAUCUACCUGCAGACUGCACUUUGAAAAGCAUGGACAUCUCAUGACUGAUACUUUUGCCAUCUUCACAAUCCAUACCAUUGAUAAUUACCAUUCUGCCUUAACCUUCAAAACAAUUCAAAUGUAUAAGAACCAUUUCAAGAAUAAUACAAAGAACUCCUAUAUACCUUUCAUUCAGACCCCUUUCCAGAUCCACUUGUGAGGUGCUGAUCCAAAAGGUCCGAUUCAUGAUCACAUAAUUUAGUCUCUUUCUAUCAGUAACUUUCUUCGGGUGUCAUGCCCUUGACCUUUAUGAAGAUUGUAUUUUGUGGGAUGAUGCUGAACUUGGGCUUGUCCUCUGCUUCUUCAUAAUUAUAGCCAGGUCAUGCAUUUUGGGCAAGUUUGACACAGAAGUGAUGCUGUGAUCUCCUUACUGCACUCUAUUAAGUGGCCUCUGGUGUUGACUGGUCUCAUUACUUACCAGUUUUAGUAACGUGAUCACUUGAUUGUCUUUCCCUGUUUUCCAUUAUAAAAUUACCUUUUAUUUUGUAAUUAACAAGUAUCAUGUAAAAAUUCCAUCGCUCAUUCCACUUUCACCCACUUAUUUGAACACCCAUCGAUAUUUCCUCUUGGAAUUAUCCUUGUGAUAUUUACUUAAUGGUAAUUUUCUAAUUGUAUCAUUCCCUCUAUAUUUAAUAGUUGAAAUCCUGUUGUACAAA